rnacentral:rRNA from 1 species
UACGGAGGGUGCAAGCGUUAUCCGGAUUCACUGGGUUUAAAGGGUGCGUAGGUGGGUCUGUAAGUCAGUGGUGAAAUCUCCAAGCUUAACUUGGAAACUGCCGUUGAUACUAUAGACCUUGAAUGCUGUGGAGGUGAGCGGAAUAUGUCAUGUAGCGGUAGAAAUGCUUAGAUAUGACAUUAGAACACCAAUUGCGAAGGCAGCUCACUACCCAGAUAUUGACACUGAGGCACGAAAGCGUGGGGAUCAAACAGG